UAAUAUUCGCUUGCUGAAGAAUUUUACAAUCUUAUAUCUUCCAUCAAAUUUAGAAUUUGAAAAAAUAUUCAUUUUCCAAAAGGUUCAGACAUCAUGUAAAGUAAACAUCAAAGGUGAACUACACAACUCAAUUGAAGGACACCAAAUGGUUCUAUGUCGAUAUAUACUCAUUAGCUUCAACAAAAGUGUCAUAUGCCCACUAUAAGAAGAAACUUUAGAUAAAGCAAUUAAAACUAAACGUAGAAACACAAUGAAGGCUGUGACUUCCCAAAUCAUUAAAUACUUUUUCCAAAUUCAUGAAAAAGUGUUCGUCGGACGAACAAGUAUUUGGUUAGGCAUCGAAUGCACUUGUGAGACAUCAAAAGAUAUCAGUUAUGAAGAUUGUCUGUAUUCCUCUUCAAAGCCCAAAAUAAUAAUUGAAAGAUAUCCAUCACUCUUAAAAGAAACUUUGUAGAUGAGAUCGAUGUUCCUCGGUUUCUCGAUAAGGAUCAUAGAAACGAACUCUAAAGAAGCAAGAUUUGUUGCAAAUCGGAUUUUUUUAAAUUCUAGGACUCAAUGUGUGAUCUGAAAACCGAACCAAAGAAUAUUAUUGUCAGAACCGGUACACAUAUUCAAUCGAGGGGAAUCAAGAUGUAUAAUCAGCUAUGCAUCUAUGGAAUGGAGUUUCGAGAAGGAGAUUCGGGGACUUGUGUUUAUGUUCAUACUCCGGGUUACGAAAGACUAACUGGUUGUAUCGGGAUGUUAAUAGGAAAGCCAACGUGCGAAAACUAUGUGUUAACACCGAUGAAAGAAAUACUGAAAAUAUUUGAGUUGUAAAAUAAAUUUUCGGAUUCUUAUCUUUAAUUUUUGCUUAUAUGCUUGAUCUAUAUGCUAUUGUGUGCCUUUUUUACAUUUUUGUUUGUUUGUGUAUGUUUGUCAUUUUUAAUUAUUAUGUCUGUUUGUUUGUAUCACGCAUCGUUGUCAUAUAAUGGAAUUUGAAGAAACUGUCAUACAAGUGAGAGGUUUAUUUAGCUAUAAAACCAGGUUUAAUCCACCAAGACUAUCCGUUAUGGAUUUUCCUCGAAGUUCAGUAUUUUUGUAAAUUUACUUUUUUAUGUAAUACUCAAAUGUAAUAAUUAUGCGAAAGAAUUUCCAUGACGCGUUUGUUUAAAGUUUCAAAAUAACGUAUGUAUACUUCUACUAAAGUGAUUAGAGAAGUAUGGGUUCAAGUUUGUGCAAAUUGACCAUAAAUAUUUAGUCUCGAAGCUAUGAUGUAAAUAUUGAGAUUGACAUUAUCUAACUGUAGCAUGACAUCGUAACUUUAUUAAACUAUCUUUAGAAUUAAUGUUUUUAUUUUUAUCAUAAAAAAAUGUGAGAAAAAUUAAUAUGAGACAAUAAAAACAACAAGUAGACUAAAUAGAAAACAAAGGACUGAAAAUAGGACACGAAGGAGCAAAAUGAACUUACAUAAAUCGUGGUGAAUAUAGGUACUGCAAAAAA
rnacentral:lncRNA from 1 species